rnacentral:lncRNA from 1 species
AUGUGCGCCAAGGGUACGGAAGAUCGUGAUGGCAUCCGAAAAGACGCGAUGCGAGUGUGUUGCGCCAGCUGCUACGGUCAUGCCGAUCUAAUUUUUAAGUUCCUUCGUAUAACCGUCGAGGCACAACGCAGGUCGAUCGUCAAGUUCUAUCAAGAGAGAGAGAGUAGAUCGUUAUCUACUCUCUCUCUCUCUACUCUAUAUCUUGUAUGUCAAUGGAGGUAUCGCCUUAUGGACAUCAAAAAGGAGGAUCUAGCAAUCUGGCAACACCAAAUUCCCUCCAUUUAAACCUAUGUCAAUAUAUAUUCUUGUCAGAGCACCUGGCCCCUCCAAGAAUCGAUACAUUUCCAUAGGUUUCAAUGCAGAAAAACAAUUUUGUCAACUCGCUGGAUCCGUCAAUGGUCUUACUAGAUCGACGGAGAAUCUUCUUUUUCAUCGUAAACUUAAAACAGGAGGAAGUUUUACAGGCGAUUCCGUUUUCCUGCGAAUUUCGAUAAUUUUGAAGUUAGUAAUGUAGCUUUUAAGGGUUCAAGGUGAAACCAACCUAUGAAUUCAAAUUAUUCAGAGUGAUUUUAUAAUGGAGAUGUUGCAUGUGUGAGGGAUUUGCAAUUUGACUGUUGUUUCUUAUGCAAAAGUUUGCGAGAACCACGAUGGUGCCACUGGCUUUCCCUGAAAUCAACUCUCACGCUCAAAAAAAGCUCUCAAAGUGAGGCCAAAAAGGAGAGGAUAUCCCGCCCUACCCUGAGAGUCCAGUCCACCUCUACAUCAAACAAUCUCUCCAUGCAAAGAUAGGGAGCUAAUACAUUGACAGGGCUGCCACUUUAUUUGGGGACUCCAAAACUGAAAACACGGCAAGCCUCCUAAUGUAUUUACUCCCUAUCUUUGCAUGGAGAGAUUGUUUUGAUGUAGAGGUGGACUAUCAGGGUAGGGCGGAUAUCCCCUCCAUUUUGGCCUCACUUUGAGAGCUUUUUUUGAGCUUGGGAAAUGAUUUCAGAGAAAACCAGUGGCACCAUCGUGUUUCUCGCGAACUUUUACAUAAGAAUUAACAGUCUAAUCGCAAAUCCCUCACACGUGCAACAUCUCCAUUGUUACGGCCCGUCGUUUGUAAAGCACUAUUUGACCUAGUUUUUGGAAGAACUUACUCGUUUUCGCGGAAGAACGCUCGUUCAUGAACAUUCUUCACUAUCUUGGUUUGGUAUUAGAAUUGGAAGAUCGGCAGUGAUUUUUUUUGUGGAAGAAGGUUGGUUGCCCUUUUGGGCCCCAAGAGCUUCAUUUUUUUGACAUGCCCGCACUCUUCCUAUACAGGGAGACCCCUGACCCAGUAGACUGCAGGGGCGUGUUCUAUGAGUCAAUAAAGACUCUU